AUGGAUAACUUAUUUGUUUUGUUGUAUAUACUUUGUAGUUUCAAUGAUGAGACAUAUAUGUCAACUAUGGGUGUCGGCUCCAACAAUUCUCAUUGGUCUCAAAGCAAUUAUGUGCAUUUCGAUGGUCAUGAGUUUGAGGUGGACGAGGAUGGUGAGGGUAUCGUCGAUGCACCGAAAGAAAGAGCGGGCAACUACACCAUCGACGAAGACAUCUUGAUAUGCAAUCCAUGGUUGCAAGUGUCUGGGGAUGCCACCGUUGGAGGGGACCAAAGUAGAUAUGCAUAUUGGAUCCGUAUGAAGGAGCACUUUGAUUUACACAACAGAAGUGGAAUUGACCGCACAGAAUGA
rnacentral:rRNA from 1 species